rnacentral:rRNA from 1 species
GAUGAACGCUAGCUACAGGCUUAACACAUGCAAGUCGAGGGGCAUCGGGAAGAAAGCUUGCUUUCUUUGCCGGCGACCGGCGCACGGGUGAGUAACACGUAUCCAACCUGCCCUUUACUCGGGGAUAGCCUUUCGAAAGAAAGAUUAAUACCCGAUAGCAUAAUGAUUCCGCAUGGUUUCAUUAUUAAAGGAUUCCGGUAAAGGAUGGGGAUGCGUUCCAUUAGGUUGUUGGUGGGGUAACGGCCCACCAAGCCUUCGAUGGAUAGGGGUUCUGAGAGGAAGGUCCCCCACAUUGGAACUGAGACACGGUCCAAACUCCUACGGGAGGCAGCAGUGAGGAAUAUUGGUCAAUGGGCGCUAGCCUGAACCAGCCAAGUAGCGUGAAGGAUGAAGGCUCUAUGGGUCGUAAACUUCUUUUAUAUAAGAAUAAAGUGCAGUAUGUAUACUGUUUUGUAUGUAUUAUAUGAAUAAGGAUCGGCUAACUCCGUGCCAGCAGCCGCGGUAAUACGGAGGAUCCGAGCGUUAUCCGGAUUUAUUGGGUUUAAAGGGAGCGUAGGUGGACUGGUAAGUCAGUUGUGAAAGUUUGCGGCUCAACCGUAAAAUUGCAGUUGAUACUGUCAGUCUUGAGUACAGUAGAGGUGGGCGGAAUUCGUGGUGUAGCGGUGAAAUGCUUAGAUAUCACGAAGAACUCCGAUUGCGAAGGCAGCUCACUGGACUGCAACUGAUACUGAUGCUGGAAAGUGUGGGUAUCANACAGG